UAGGGAAUAUUGGUUAAUGUGCGAAAGCGCGAACCAGCAACGCCGCGUGCACGAUGAAGGCCUUCGGGUUGUAAAGUGCUUUUUGAGGGGAUGAGGAAGGACAGUACCCUCAGAAUAAGUCUCGGCCAACUACGUGCCAGCAGCCGCGGUAACACGUAGGAGACGAGCGUUAUCCGGACUUACUGGGCGUAAAGCGCGUGCAGGCGGUUCAGCAAGUUGGAUGUGAAAGCUCCCGGCUUAACUGGGAGAGGUCGUUCAAAACUACUGAACUUGAGAGUGGUAGAGGGAGGUGGAAUUCCGGGUGUAGUGGUGAAAUGCGUAGAUAUCCGGAGGAACACCAGUGGCGAAAGCGGCCUCCUGGACCAUUUCUGACGCUCAGACGCGAAAGCUAGGG
rnacentral:rRNA from 1 species